rnacentral:rRNA from 1 species
UACGUAGGGUGCGAGCGUUGUCCGGAAUUAUUGGGCGUAAAGAGCUCGUAGGCGGUCUGUCGCGUCGGUCGUGAAAACCUGCAGCUUAACUGUGGGCGUGCGGUCGAUACGGGCAUGACUGGAGUUCGGCAGGGGAGACUGGAAUUCCUGGUGUAGCGGUGAAAUGCGCAGAUAUCAGGAGGAACACCGGUGGCGAAGGCGGAUCUCUGGGCCUUGCCUGACGCUGAGGCGCGAAAGCUAGGGGAGCGAACAGG